GGGGAAUAUUGCACAAUGGGCGCAAGCCUGAUGCAGCAACGCCGCGUGAGGGACGACGGCCUUCGGGUUGUAAACCUCUUUUAGCAAGGAAGAAGCGAAAGUGACGGUACUUGCAGAAAAAGCGCCGGCUAACUACGUGCCAGCAGCCGCGGUAAUACGUAGGGCGCAAGCGUUAUCCGGAAUUAUUGGGCGUAAAGAGCUCGUAGGCGGUUUGUCACGUCUGCUGUGAAAACCCGAGGCUCAACCUCGGGCCUGCAGUGGGUACGGGCAGACUAGAGUGCGGUAGGGGAGAUUGGAAUUCCUGGUGUAGCGGUGGAAUGCGCAGAUAUCAGGAGGAACACCGAUGGCGAAGGCAGAUCUCUGGGCCGUAACUGACGCUGAGGAGCGAAAGGGUGGGGAGCAAAC
rnacentral:rRNA from 1 species